rnacentral:rRNA from 1 species
UAGGGAAUCUUCCGCAAUGGGCGAAAGCCUGACGGAGCAACGCCGCGUGAGUGAUGAAGGUCUUCGGAUCGUAAAACUCUGUUGUUAGGGAAGAACAAAUUUGUUAGUAACUGAACAAGUCUUGACGGUACCUAACCAGAAAGCCACGGCUAACUACGUGCCAGCAGCCGCGGUAAUACGUAGGUGGCAAGCGUUAUCCGGAAUUAUUGGGCGUAAAGCGCGCGUAGGCGGUUUCUUAAGUCUGAUGUGAAAGCCCACGGCUCAACCGUGGAGGGUCAUUGGAAACUGGGAAACUUGAGUGCA